AUUGGGAUGGCCGAAUUAGGUAAUAAACUGUAAAUUUAUUCAUGAAUUUUUUUCUCUCAAUA
rnacentral:tRNA from 1 species